GAUGAACGCUAGCGGCAGGCCUAAUACAUGCAAGUCGAACGGGAUCCAGAUCAAAGCUUGCUUUGGUCUGGUGAGAGUGGCGCACGGGUGCGUAACGCGUGAGCAACCUACCCUUGUCAGGGGGAUAGCCCGGCGAAAGUCGGAUUAAUACCGCAUGACAUCAUUGAGAGGCAUCUUUCGAUGAUCAAAGAUUUAUCGGACAAGGAUGGGCUCGCGUGACAUUAGCUAGUUGGUAAGGUAACGGCUUACCAAGGCUGCGAUGUCUAGGGGCUCUGAGAGGAGAAUCCCCCACACUGGUACUGAGACACGGACCAGACUCCUACGGGAGGCAGCAGUAAGGAAGAUUGGUCAAGGGACGGAAGUCUGAACCAGCCAUGCCGCGUGCAGGAAGGCGGCCCUAGGGGUUGUAAACUGCUGUUAUACGGGAACAAACGUCGGUACGUGUACCGGUCUGAGUGUACCGUAAGAAUAAGAAUCGGCUAACUCCGUG
rnacentral:rRNA from 1 species